UACGUAGGGUGCGAGCGUUGUCCGGAAUUAUUGGGCGUAAAGAGCUCGUAGGCGGUGUGUCACGUCGGCCGUGAAAACCUGCAGCUUAACUGUGGGCGUGCGGUCGAUACGGGCAGACUAGAGUUCGGUAGGGGAGUCUGGAAUUCCUGGUGUAGCGGUGAAAUGCGCAGAUAUCAGGAGGAACACCGGUGGCGAAGGCGGGACUCUGGGCCGAUGACUGACGCUGAGGAGCGAAAGCGUGGGGAGCAAACAGG
rnacentral:rRNA from 1 species